GCAAAAGUGAAAGUAGAGAAGUAGACAGUUUCCGGUGAGGAAAAAUACUUCAUUCUAGCAGUUUCCAGCUAUCUAAGAUUAGUUUGCAUCGUAAGGGAAUUAUAUAAGUGUCCGAUAACAUGUAAAUUGAAAUGGAACUAAUCUUCAAAGAAUAAAACACAACAAUGAGCCACACUUGAUGCUAUGCCUGUCCACUUCCCAAAAGAGAAUACUUGACAUGUGGAUUUCGUUUGAUUCCAGUCAUGGUUGUUAACAGAAGGAUGCAACUGUCCUCAUGCAUCAACAGUUAACUUAAAUUUAAAUGGAAUUAAAGGACAGAAAUUGGUAGUUGUCCUGACUAACUCAAAUUUGGAGGAGAAAAUCCGAAUUGGAGAGAUCUGCCACAAGAACAACAUUAAAUUCAUUUCUGUUGAUUCCAGAGGACUGUUUGUGGAGCUGUUUUGCGACUUUGGAGAUAAUUUCGUGAUGAAUGAUGUGGAUGGGGAGGAGCCCAUCUCAAACAUGGUGGCAUCCAUCACUAAGGAUAAAGAGGGCGUGGUCACUUGUUUGUACGAAGCCCGCCAUGGAUACGAAGACGGGGAUCACGUCACUUUCGCUGAAGUACAAGGAAUGACUGAGCUCAAUGGGUGUAAACCAAUCAAAAUCAAAGUGCUA